CGGAGAGGGUGCAUGAGAAACGGCUACCACUUCUAAGGAAGGCAGCAGGCGCGCAAAUUACCCAAUCCUGACUCAGGGAGGUAGUGACAAGGAAUAACAAUAAACCGGCUUAUGCCGGUUUAAUUGGAAUGAGUACAAUUUAAACAUCUUAACGAGGGACAAUUGGAGGGCAAGUCUGGUGCCAGCAGCCGCGGUAAUUCCAGCUCCAAUAGCGUAUACUAAAGUUGUUGCAGUUAAAAAGCUCGUAGUUGGAUUUCUGCGGGGACGGAGCGGCCGUACGCAACUUGCGUCUCGAGCUAGCGCUUUCCCCGCAUCCUGCCGCGAACCGUGCUACCAUUAGCUUGGUGGCGCUGGGGAUCGGCUCGAUUACUUUGAGAAAAAUAGAGUGUUCAAAGCAGGCCACACGCCUUGAAUAAGUUAGCAUGGAAUAAUGACUAAGGACUUUGGUUCUUUUCGUUGGUGUUCGGGACUGAAGUAAUGAUUGAUAGGGACAGUUGGGGCGGUCUGUAUUCCAAGGCGAGAGGUGAAAUUCUUAGACCUUCGGAAGACAAACAGCUGCGAAGGCGUUCCGCAAGGAUGUUCCCUUUGAUCAAGAACGAAAGUUGGGGGAUCGAAGACGAUCAGAUACCGUCGUAGUCUCAACUAUAAACUAUAUCAGCUAGGGAUCGGCCAACGUUUAAUUAUUCGACUUGGUCGGCACCUUAUGAGAAAUCAAAGCAUCUGGGUUCCGGGGGGAGUAUGGUCGCAAGGCUGAAACUUAAAGGAAUUGACGGAAGGGCACCACCAGGCGUGGAGCCUAUAGCUUAAUUUGACUCAACACGGGAAAACUUACCAGGUCCAGACAUAGGAAGGAUUGACAGAUUGAUAGCUCUUUCUUGAUUCUGUGGGUGGUGGUGCAUGGCCGUUUUUAGUCGGUGAAGUGAUUUGUCUGCUUAAUUGCGUUAACGGACGAGACCCCAGCCUGCUAAAUAGCGCGGCCGAGCUUUGCUCGGUGCGAGCUUCUUAGAGGGACCAUGAUGCGCGAUAGCACAAGGAAGUUUGGGGCAACAACAGGUCUAUGAUGCCCUUAGAUGUUCUGGGCCGCACACGGGCUACACUGGCGCCUGCAACGAGCAUAUCAGCUGGCCCGAGAGGGUCUUGGCUAAUCUUUGGAACCGGCGCCGUGCUUGGGAUUGACCAUUGCAAUUGUUGGUCAUGCAACGAGGAAUGCCUUGUAAACGCGAGUCAUCAGCUCGCAUUGAAUACGUCCCUGCCCUUUGUACACACCACCCGUCGCUCCUACCGAUGAAUGUUCCGAUGAGAUUUUCGGAGAGCGCCGGAGAACGGGGCUCUGCCCUGCAGAACUGGAGGCUCAAAGUCACUUAAAUCUGAACAUUUCGAGGAAAGAGAAGUCGUAACAAGGUAACC
rnacentral:rRNA from 1 species